UAUGGCCACAUCAUGUUGAGACACCAGUUCCCAUAGGAUCACUGAAGUUAAGCAACAUACCUAGAUGGGUGACCAUUUGGGAAUACCAGGUGCUGUAAG